rnacentral:rRNA from 1 species
GACGAACGCUGGCGGCGUGCCUAAUACAUGCAAGUCGAGCGAAGUUUUUCUGGUGCUUGCACUAGAAAAACUUAGCGGCGAACGGGUGAGUAACACGUAAAGAACCUGCCUCAUAGACUGGGACAACUAUUGGAAACGAUAGCUAAUACCGGAUAACAGUAUUUCUCGCAUGGGAGAUAUUUAAAAGUUGGUUAUGCUAACACUAUGAGAUGGCUUUGCGGUGCAUUAGCUAGUUGGUGGGGUAAAGGCCUACCAAGGCGACGAUGCAUAGCCGACCUGAGAGGGUGAUCGGCCACACUGGGACUGAGACACGGCCCAGACUCCUACGGGAGGCAGCAGUAGGGAAUCUUCCGCAAUGGGCGAAAGCCUGACGGAGCAACGCCGCGUGAGUGAAGAAGGAUUUCGGUUCGUAAAGCUCUGUUGUUAGGGAAGAAUGGAUAUGUAG